rnacentral:misc_RNA from 1 species
GGGCACCAGUAAAUUUCUUUGAUAUUUGUCAUAAUCAUAGGAGGAAAAAUAGAGGUUUGGAGAAACCAAAGCGAAAAGUACAAUUUACAACCAAAACUGGAAGGGGCAAACAACAAAAGAUAAAUACUUGAUUUUUCAAGCAUACAACAAGAGGAAAUGAGUUUAGAACUGCAUCUAGCAACAUUCUAAGAGUCCAUAUAAUUAUCAUAUUCUCCAGUGCAGAUUUGAUAGGCCGUUAAGGCAUACAGAACAAGAUUAUACAUUCUAUGGUUUGGCAUCUCCAUGAACCCUGAUUAAUUCUUUAUAUCUCAGCACCUUAUGAGACCCCCAACAGCUUCUUUAUGUCAUGCUCGAGACUCAAAGGUGAAGUUGUGGGAUAGUAACGAUCUACAACUUGUCCAUCCUUAUUGACAAGGAAUUUGGCAAAGUUCCAUUGAAUAUCAUCACCAAAAAUUCCCCAUUUGCCAGACUUUAAGAACUUGUACAACAGAGAAGCAUUCUCACCAUUCACUUCCACCUAAUGUCAGCAAAGUAACGAUUAGCAUACAAUUCACAGUAAAAUAAUCUAAUCAAACUUAUAGAUAUAUAAUGCUAAGCGAUCAAGCUGUAAUGAAAUCUUAGCUAUAUGAGGGUACCAUGCAACAAAAUCAGUGUAAACUUCAAUAUUUGAUCUGAACACUUUAGUAAACUACUAUUAUACUUUCUGAUUAACUUUUAGGCCAUAUGGUUAGACAUUAGUGAACUACCACUGACUUUUCAGGGGGUGGCACUUCUGGAUGUUGCUAUGAUAGUAUUAUCACAACUCGAGCUCAUGUGAACAACUGGUCUAACAACAAGGGCGAGAUUGGACCUAUUUACAUGUUCCAAAAGUCAACCCAAGGUAUUGGUAGCAUUUCACCCUUAUAUGGAAAUUACAUCUGAAGUCCCUUUUCAAUGUGGGACUUGAGGUGUCACAUUUACCUUGCCAAAUAUGGGAAAUUCUGAUUUAAAGCGAGUGCAGACAAAUUCUUGAAUCUCAUCGUUACUUCCUGGUUCCUGCUCACCAAAUUGAUUGCAUGGAAAUGCCAAUAUUUCAAGGCCUUGAUCUUUGUACUUCUCAUAUAACUGAUUCAGUUCUGUGUAAUUUGAGUUGGUCAUUCCACAUUUUGAAGCAACAUUAACAAUUAAUAAGACUUUUCCCUUGAAAAUGCUAAGAUCUACAUCAUUUCCAUUAGCAUCCUUGAUAAUGAAAUCAUAGACUGAUUCAGGAUACUUGGGGGGCUGGCUUGCCAUUAAACAAGCAAAAGAUAUAGAGAGGCCAGAGACAAGCGGGUAAUUGGCACCACAGCAAAAUAAAAGAACAGUUGAAGGAAGGGAAAGUUGAAAGAGAACAGAAUAAACAAAUAUGCUGCAAUUGCUUAAAUCGACUUUUGGAAUUGUAAUAUUCCCACACGUGUUUAGUCACAGUGGAUACACUUCUUGUUGGUGAAAGCCCUCCUGCCGUUGGAUUGAUAAUGGAGUCAACUUCUGGCUCCCUUCUCCAAAUAUUUUCAUUAUUAAUUAGGGUUAGGCUCUGGCUCAGUUUUCUCACUAGCGGGUUCAGGAUUGUUUCUAGAUAGAACAAGCGAGAUUAUCCGCGUGUCUUGCAACGGAUCGACACAAUAUAUAUAUAUAUCCCUUCUCCAAAUAUUUUCAUUG